GGGGACGUAGUUUAGUAGGUAGAACACAUGCUUUGCAUGCAUGAAGUGAUCGGUUCGAUCCCGGUCGUCUCCA
rnacentral:tRNA from 1 species